UACGAAGGGGGCUAGCGUUGUUCGGAAUUACUGGGCGUAAAGCGCACGAGGCGGAAUGUUAAGUCAGGGGUGAAAUCCCGGGGCUCAACCCCGGAACUGCCUUUGAUACUGGCAUUCUCGAGUCCGGAAGAGGUGAGUGGAAUUCCGAGUGUAGAGGUGAAAUUCGUAGAUAUUGGGAAGAACACCGAUGGCGAAGGCAGCCAUCUGGACCGACACUGACGCUGAGGCGCGAAAAGCGUGGGGAGCAACAGG
rnacentral:rRNA from 1 species